AUUGAACGCUGGCGGCAUGCCUUACACAUGCAAGUCGAACGGCAGCGGGGGAGAAGCUUGCUUUUCCUGCCGGCGAGUGGCGAACGGGUGAGUAAUACAUCGGGACGUGCCCUGUAGUGGGGGAUAACUAGUCGAAAGAUUAGCUAAUACCGCAUACGACCUGAGGGUGAAAGUGGGGGACCGCAAGGCCUCAUGCUAUAGGAGCGGCCGAUGUCUGAUUAGCUAGUUGGUGGGGUAAAGGCCUACCAAGGCGACGAUCAGUAGCUGGUCUGAGAGGACGAUCAGCCACACUGGGACUGAGACACGGCCCAGACGCCUACGGGAGGCAGCAGUGGGGAAUUUUGGACAAUGGGCGAAAGCCUGAUCCAGCAAUGCCGCGUGUGUGAAGAAGGCCUUCGGGUUGUAAAGCACUUUUGUCCGGAAAGAAAUGGCUCUGGUUAAUACCUGGGGUCGAUGACGGUACCGGAAGAAUAAGGACCGGCUAACUACGUGCCAGCCGCCGCGGUAAGAC
rnacentral:rRNA from 1 species